UCUACAAUUAUACUACCCAGAACACACCCAAGUUCAUCUGAUCUCGGAAGCGAAGCAGGGUUGGUCCUGGUUAGUUCUUGGAUAGAAAGAAAACGUUUUAUGGAAUACCUGACCACUAAUUCUCGAAAUAGUAAGAA
rnacentral:rRNA from 1 species